UCUAAUAUGGCAGAUUAGUGCAAUGAAUUUAAGAUUCAUUUAUAAAUAUAAUUAUUUUAUUGGAA
rnacentral:tRNA from 1 species